rnacentral:rRNA from 1 species
UAAUGCCGGAUGCUCCGACUCCUCGCAUGGGGUGUCGGGAAAGAUUUCAUCGGUAUGGGAUGGGGUCGCGUCCUAUCAGGUAGUCGGCGGGGUAACGGCCCACCGAGCCUACGACGGGUAGCCGGCCUGAGAGGGCGACCGGCCACAUUGGGACUGAGAUACGGCCCAGACUCCUACGGGAGGCAGCAGUGGGGAAUAUUGCACAAUGGGCGCAAGCCUGAUGCAGCGACGCCGCGUGCGGGAUGACGGCCUUCGGGUUGUAAACCGCUUUUGAUCGGGAGCAAGCCUUCGGGUGAGUGUACCUUUCGAAUAAGCACCGGCUAACUACGUGCCAGCAGCCGCGGUAAUACGUAGGGUGCAAGCGUUAUCCGGAAUUAUUGGGCGUAAAGGGCUCGUAGGCGGUUCGUCGCGUCCGGUGUGAAAGUCCAUCGCUUAACGGUGGAUCUGCGCCGGGUACGGGCGGGCUGGAGUGCGGUAGGGGAGACUGGAAUUCCCGGUGUAACGGUGGAAUGUGUAGAUAUCGGAAAGAGAAC